GACACCAGUGUUCUGCGGGGCUUUGAAAGCAAAAGUUCUCUGUGUUCCCAAGAUCUCCGAUAAACCCGGGCCAGCGAGUCCAAAGUUUGUUAAACCCACAAAUAAAACUUUCCGGGGUGGGAGGAACUUGUGCAACCCCCCAGCGGUGCGGGGCGAGGGCACCCCGAGGAGGGGCAUCCACCCAGGGGGAGCCCGCCCCCGGGCCAAAGCGCUCCGACAGCAUCCCCGCGUGGUCCCCAUUCCCAUCCCGACCGCUCCGGGGGGCUCCUCUCCCGCUCCUGGGACCCCCAGCACCGGCUUGGUCCCCGGGAGACCGGGCAGCUCGGCGAGACCUCCGCCAGCGGGGAGAUCUCGGGGUCCGUCUCCCGCUCCUGGGACCCUGCCCCGGUCUCGGGAGUGCCGGCAGUUCCGCGGGACCCCCGCCGCCUCCCCGGUCCCGGGGCCAUCCGUCAGCUUCCCGGUACCGGGAGUCCCAGUGCGAGACCCCGGGCAGCUCCCCGGCGCCGAGCUCCCCACUCCAGGGAUCUGCCGCAGGCUCCCAGCGCCGGAAUCCCCGGCAGUUUCCCGAGACCGCUCCGCCUCUCCGAUCCCGGGACUCUCGAGCCGUGUGCCGGGAUGUGCAGAGGCGUGAGUGGGUGCUGAUGGCUACGAACUUGUCCCUUUCUGCCGGAGAGCCCGACAAACCCCGGCCCUAUGCACGGUGGGUAAUCCAGGGCACGCAAUAAUUAAACCAGCACACCUGGAAAUAGCUCUUUCUGUAGCUCCCAGGCUUAACCAAAUGAAUGAAAUUUGCGCUGGCGUAAUUAAAGCGGUGCGGUUCGGGAUCCUGUCUGCACCGGGGAGUUACUGCAGUUUGACUCUUCCCUCUCCGGUGACAGCCACGUGGAAGGACUCCCAGCUCCAGCCCCUGCACGGCUCGGCUCCAGUGCUGACUUCUCACCAUCAGGGUGCCCAUUAACACCAGCCCAUUAACACCAGUUCAUUAACACCAGCAUUCAAACCUGUCCGGCAGCACAAAGCCUCCAGCGUCCUCCGGCAGCUGCCGCGGCUCACUCCAGCACACAGCAGCGAUGGCAAAGCACCGGGCUCUCGGCUGCAGUCCCUGCUCCCCUACAGGGACUUAUAAAUCUGCAGGAGAAAUCGGUAGGAUGAUAUACCAAGGACCCGGCUGUGACUGGCACAGGAUGAACCUCCCCACUGCAUUUUCACUUUCCAGCAAACCCCACUGCACUGGAGCAAGCACCAGGAGCAGAAACACAAGAGGAGAGUGAUGAGCCUGGAGGUGGAGAGAUGCAAAGAUCAAACCAGCAGUGAUUUCAAAAUAAAAUCCAACAGCCCAGGGAAAACAUGGUGUGUUCUUGCUGAGGCUAUCAUUUAUGCCAAUUAAAAAAAAAAAAAAAUCUGGCAUGGCACGAAGGAGAGCUGCGUGGUAUUUCCUGAAAAGGGUGUGGGGAGCAUCCUUGGAAAGCCUGCCCUGCACAAUGUGCUUGCUGUUUCCAGAAAAAUAAAGUUUCCCGUGACACACCUGUCCCUGAAAAGCAGCUAUUUAAGGCUGGAACAUGGUCAGCCCGGAGUCAGUGGCUGGGUCUGUCCUGACUGCAGAGCAGCUGGCACCUUUGCCAGGAUUUGGGGUUUGGCAUUUACCUGCAGCUUUUUAAAUGCUGCGAAAUGUCUUAGAAAAAAAUGCAGGAGAGCUGCCCAAGCACCAAGUGCUCACAACUGAAGGUCUUUCCUCCACAGCAUUUGGCUGGUGGCCAUUAACCCCCCUGCCAACCCCCAGAGCCAUGACAGAACAGGACAGGAGGGGGUUUCUUCUUUGCCACCCUUAGAUUUUGGGAGUAUUUUGACUCAGCUGGGAAUCUGGGGGGUUUAGAGCAGCACCUUUGGGGUUUGCCAGAGAGACAGCUGUGGGAGUGAUGGGUGAGAGCAGCCCUUUGGGACAGUGGAGGGGCUCUGCUGGGAAAGGACAGAAAGGCCCCCAUUGGGAAGGGACAGAUUUUGGUGGAGAAGGGAGUGUCCAAUGGGUUUGUGCCCCCGCAUCCCCCAGCAAGCCAGGACCAGGACUCACUCCCCAUCCCAGGGCAGAGCAUGCUUGGGGCUCACCAAGGGCAUUUCUGGAGAUUUCAGCAGCAUAGCAAGACUUGCCAAAGCCUAAUCUCCAGGCAAGCUUACCUUUGACAUGGAAUUUCAACAGCGGAGCGUGGAAAACAAAUAUAAACCCACAGUUUGGAUGGGUUUUCUUUCGUCUGAGCCCUGCUCAGAAGCUGCAGGCAGGCGGUAUUUGGGUGACCAGACUGGAUCCAGUGUUCUCUGGGCAGCCACGAUGCUGAAAGAGAAGCAGCUCCACCUUAGGGCAGGCGCUGGUGCUGGAGCAGGGCCGACCUCAACACCAAUCCAACCAUCAGGCAUCACCCAUUAGACAUCAUCUGUGCCAGGGACUGGCAACAUCUGCUCCAGCCUGCAGCCAGGCUUCGAGCCAGCAUCAGGAUCUCAAGGCUUGGGAUCAGUUUGGGGCUGAGAAUUUAGAGUUUCCCUUAUUCACACUGAAAAAAAUCCCCUCCAAUGUUUAUUUUCUUUCCUAAUGAGGCUGGGGGGUAAAAAAGGCUGUUUUCAGCAAAUCACCCUUUGCAACCUGCAAAAGCAUCCUGAGACCCACAGUGGAUAGAAAUCUGAGCACAGAGCAAAACUCCACAACAAUAAAAACUCAUCUUAGGUGGAAAAAUAACUUAAAAAAAAAAAAGCCAGUCAAAGACAAAGCAGGGUUCUAUAGAGGCCUGGACAUAUCUGGAUCAAUCCCAUAAAAAUCAGUUGUUGUGGAAUAUCAGCUUCCCUGCAGGAGACAGCAGGAGAGAUGCUAACCUGGUCUCGAUUUGAAAGCUGCUUAUUAGUCCUCAUCAAGCAUAAUUAUGCUUCAAAGCCAAAUGAGAUGUCCAGCUGAAUUCUGAACACACAUUAAUGUUUUUAAACAUGAAAAAAAACA